rnacentral:tRNA from 1 species
GGUGUAGCUGAGCGGUAAAGUGUGCACUUAGCAUGUGCAAAGUUCUGGGUUCAAUCCCCGGUAACUCCA